GGCUGGGGACCAGAUGUAAUGCCCGGCAACCUUGCUGGCCCCAAAACACAGCAUGUUUUUGUGAGGCACUCGGCUGCGGGGCGGACACGUUCUGCGUCGGCAUUGUCUUAGCAAUGGGGGACUCCUUGCCAGGAGGCACUGAGGGCCCCAUCGGCCGCCCAGAUAACCUCUCCAGAGAGGUUUGCUGUCUUGCGUGGGCACGUGCCAGAGACGUUAAGGAGACUCCACCGCAUCUGAUCAAACAAGUUGACCACCGUCCGCUUGUUGUCAUUCACGCAGGGUCACGGGAGGCUGCAGCGAGGAAAUUGCAGAACAUCAGGAGGGGACUUUGCAUCCCUUGGACAGACGCUAAAGGGAUCGGGAGCGCCAGGCGUGUUCUCCUCUGUCCUCCUGACUGGCGGCUGAGUCCCAGAAGGAAGGAGGAGACUAGAGGAGGCAAAUUACUGCCUGAGGGGAUGGUGUCGGGAUCGAGGCUUUGGGAACCAUGAUCUUGGGCACGCCUUUGAGAGACAAGGUGUGUGGGCGUGAGACGGAACGGGACUGAGCAGCUGGGGCAAAAGCGCUUUGGGGAGCAAGCUGGCGGGAUUGAUGACCAGAGCGUUAAACUAGGUUUGAUGGAGGACGGGGAUGGAGUACCUUGUGAGAGAGAAGGGCCUGGGAAUGCUGUCUUUUUAUAAACUGUGGAGAAAAACCUCCCAGCUGUCCCAUAGGAUCUUGUGAGGACUCCUCAGAGAAGACAACAUUGCCGAGAGCCCGGCUUAAGCCUUCUUGCAUCCCUCUAGAGAUCCCUGCACCCUCUGCGUCCUUACAGUGCCUGUAUAGCAAUGCACCCCGCGUGGGGAAUAAACAGGAGGGACUAGAGAUGUGUGUGUGCUUACAGGGAUGUGAUCUCAUUGCGAUCACGGAGAUGUGGUGGGACAGCUCACGUGACUGGAGUGCUGUCGCGGACGGCUGUGUGCUCUUUCGGAAAGACAGGCUGGCGAGGCGAGGUGGUGGAGCUGCUCUUUAUGUGAGAGAGCAACUCGAAUGUAUUGAGCUCCACUGGGUGGGGGGGAUGAUGAACAUACCCGCUGGAUAGCUCGUGGGUAAGAAUUAAGGGGCGGGCUGGCAUAGGCGGCGCUGUUGUGGGAGUGUACUACAGGCCACCUGAUGAGGAGGAGGAAGUGGACGAGGCCUUCUACAAACAGCUGGAAGUAGCCUUGCAAUCCCCAGCACUCGUUCUUACGGGGGACUUCAACCAUCCUGAUGUGUGUUGGCUAAGCAACACGGCCAGGCACACAAGGUCCAGGAGGUUCCUGCAAUGCGUCGAUGACAGCUUUCUGACACAGGUGGUGGAGGAGAUGAUGAGGAGGGGUGUGCUACUUGACCUUGUUUGUACUAACAAGGAAGGGCUGGUAGGGGAUGCGAAGGUUGGGGGCAGCUUGGGACGCAGAGAUCGUGAGAUGGAGGAGUUCAAGAUCUUGUGUGGAAGAAUGAAAGCAAGAAGUAGGAGUGCUACCCUGGACUUCGGGAGAGCCGAGUUUGACCUCUUCAGAGACCUACUUGGAGGUAUCCCAUGGGUUAGAGCGUUAGAAGAAACAUUCGACUGGCAUAAAUCUAAAGAAAUAUAAACUGUCAUCCAAAUCAAAGCCAGCAGUAGGCAAAACAGCCAGCAGUUUUUCACAGUGCUACAGUGAUUUAUUAAGACUAGGGAACUGGAAGUAUGCCACAUCUACCUAAAUCUUGGGUGCUUGGACUUCCAUCUCAUUGAACUGAGGCUGUGGAUAAUGAGAGAGGCCAACAUAGUCCCAGGACUUGUCUUUUCAUAAAGUGGGUAAUUCAGUCAUGUAUUCAUGCCUCUGGUUUUAAUGUGGUAUUUAUAGGUCCAUCAGUGACAUUAUUUUGCAUUCUUUUGUAAAGUUAGACACUUUGUUAUAUUUUGUUGAAGUUUUGAACAAAGCUCAAACUUUUCUACUGAGAACAUUAAUGAAAAAGCUGAAGUGGAAAGACAGCCUAACUCUCCUUAAGCUGUGCUAAUGCAUACUAGCAGGCAGUAUGGUCCUGUAUCUCUGAUUGUCUUGCGACCACAUGUCAGCAAAAAGCAGCUGACAAACUGGGAAUGCUUUCUGCUACAAAAACUCCUAAGACUGAAUCCCAGACAACUGGAGAAAAAGUAAUACAAAGUGUUAGCAUACAGGGACUUACUGUCCCCUAAUCCAGCAGAAUCAGAUCUGCAGUGCUUCCUCCAUCCUGCUUCUCAGCAUCUCCUCUGCAUUUUCCUUGGUUUUAUACUACUUCACCUCUGUUCAAAAACACCUACAGAGAUAUAUUGUAUGAGGCGAUAAAAAGAAAUUAUUCAUGAAAGGAAUUUACUCACAUUUAGGAGAUGAAGAAUGUUUACUAAAAUGAGAAAAUUGAAAGCUGAAGAUAAAAAAUUUGUUUUCUUAAUGCACAGCAAUAUCUUGAAAUAUACCCAGUAGAGAAAAAUAAUUAAAUGAACAAGAACUGCUAAAAGCCAAUGGCUCUACACUGCAUUUCAUUCUUCUAACUCCUUUAUUUAAUAAAUGCUCUGCUCUGAAUACAGAGAUUAAUAAAAAGUUCAUGAUAGAGAUUAAUAUUUUGUUCAAUAUUCAUUGUUUCACCUGUUAUAAAAUGGA